UCAAAGUGAGAGGACGUGUUUUGACCAAUUUGCAAGCCAUCAUGAGCAAGUUUCAGCGGUACGGAAGUAACACCUUCCGUAUCAAUUAUUCGGAAGCUCCUAUUAGACCAACGCUAGACGAAACGGCAGAUUUUCUGUUUACCGUUCUUAAAACUGGCGCGGAUGUCUCGAUGAUGCAACGGAACACUGCACAAAGUGCAGUAUAUGUUACCAUGCCAACACUCGAACGUGCAUUGGCCAUAGUAAACGAGCACAACGGGAAACACUUCGUCACGCACGAGGGGAAGCAGCACAAGAUCACAAUCGAGAUGGUGGAUGAUGCGACAGAGGUGAAAGUGCGCGAUCUGCCACCAGGGAUUCCCGACGCGGAUGUUGUUGCGGAACUGGGCGGUUUUGGUGAAGUACUCAAGAUUGUUCCCGGCGUUUGGGGCGCAGAAACGCGGCUAGCGGCUAUUGCGGACAAUGCGCAAUCCCGUCGGGUGUGCGCAUUGUCCCCAUUAAACAGGCUAAGCCCAUACCAUCUUCAUCACUGUGUGCGGAGAGGUGACAGGGCCCACCGGUCACCAGCACUCAGAGAUCCUUUGAAUACGCGCUUCCCAAGUAGCAGAGCCGAAGUUUUUCAGAGAUUUGUCUGUGUGCCAAAGCGAGAUGCCCUGUCUUCUCUCUCUAGAUUUUGGACAGCAAACCGCCGCGCCUGUAGAGGUGUGUGCGUGUGACGAAAAACGCGAGGAGCGGGGUCUGAAGUUUUUCGUUGGUCACACACACACAUGCAUCUACCAGCGGAAUGCGCUACACUGAGUCUACCCAUCUCUCUCGAUCUACCAUGAUUUUUUCUGCUAUCGCACUCAUCCGGGUGUUAGGCAUCCUCAGUCUGUCCAGAUAUUUCGUUGUGGAAGGAUGUGCGGGAGUGAUGCGCGAUUUCUUGCGUCCCCUACUUUCCUUGUUUACGUUUUGCGCAGUGUUGCUUCUUAUUCCAUUGUGGAAUGAUUUAUCCUAGCUAACUUGUUGAGUUACAGGUGCAUGCGCCAUUCAUCAACGCCUACCUGGUGGCAUCAUCAACAAUCUUCCAAGUGGGUGACGGAAAGAAAUUGUUUUCCAGUUUUAAAAUAUUAAGCGUUCAGCAAAACUCAGCCACAAAACAACGCACUGGAUUGCGCUAAGAACCUGUCGAAACGCGCGCAGCCCCCGGGAGCGGUAGGAGAAAGGAAGAACGAGAGGAGGAAAAACUAAAACCAGCGCGCAGCUCUGAUGGUACCCCGUACGCGGUAAGAAGAAAAAAGAUCGAGAGGAGGAAGAACGGUAAAUUUGGAAGGGGGAGACCGUUCUGCCGUCUCCACAGUGUGAGUAUGCCAAAGCACGUGUUGGAAGGGAGAGAAAAAGUGUGGAAUAAACCGCAUGCGAAUGUGUGCAUACAGCAAAAGUAAACAUGUGUGCCUCAUCAUUUCUAUAAGCAAUCCGAAAAGGGGGUGGAGCAAACACAUUGGUAUGCGUGAGGUGCAGAAGAAAUCAGAGCAUGACAGUAUGCGUGAACGCGAUCGUUCGGGUGGAAGGUGUCUAUGUGUGCGUGAAACCACAUUUACACUUCUUCUGCAAGUCCCAAGUACCCAAGGACCCAAGUAGCAGAGCCGAAGUUGUUGAGAGGUUUUUCUGUGAGCCAAAGCGAGAGGCCCUGUCUUCUCUCUCUAGAUUUUGGACGGCAAACCGCCGCCCGUGCAGAGGUGUGUGCGUGUGACGAAAAGUUAUGGAUGAAAUACGGGGGAAGCGGGGUUUGAAGACUUUCGUUCGUCACACACACAUGCAUUUACCAGCGGAUAUCGCUGGACCGAGUCUACCCAUCUCUCCCGAUCCACCAUGAUUUUUCUGCUAUCGCGCUCAUCCGGGUGUUAGGCAUCCUCAGUCUGUCCAGAACUUUCCCUGUGGAAGGAUGUACUGAAGUGAGGUGCGAUUUCUUGUGCGACGUACUUUGCUCAUUUACGUUUUGUGCCGUGUUCCUUCUUCCUCAGUUAUGGAAUGAUUUAUCCUAGCAAAUUGUUGAGUUACAGGUGUGUGCGCUAUUUAUCAACGACUACCUGCCAUCCUCGUCAACAAUCUUCAAAGUGAGCGACGGAAAGAAAACGUUUUCCAGUUUUAAAAUAUUAAGCCCCCGGUGAGGACGUCAUUACUUAACAGAAGCCGGUUCAACACGCGCAGCUCCUGUUCAUGACGUCAUCACUAAACUGAAGGCAGCUGAACACGCGCAGCACGGAUGGUACCCCGAGCGCAGUAGGAGGAAGGAAGAACGAGAGGAGGAAGAACGGUAAAUUUGGAAGGGGGAAAGCGUUCUGCCGUCUACACAGCAGGAGUAUGUCAAAACAUAAGUGGGAAGGGAGAGGGAUAUUAUUCAAUAAACAGCAUGCGAUUAUGUACAUAAAGCAAA